rnacentral:rRNA from 1 species
GACGAACGCUGGCGGCGUGCUUAACACAUGCAAGUCGAACGGGCCUGCCUGGCUUUGGUUGGGUGGGUGAGUGGCGAACGGGUGAGUAACACGUGAGUAACCUGCCCUCUUCUCUUGGAUAACUGCUUGAAAGGGCGGCUAAUACGGGAUGUUCUGGCUGCCUCGCAUGGGGUGGUUUGGAAAGAUUCGGCCUGGUUUUGGUUGUUUUGGUGGGGGAUGGGCUCGCGGCUUAUCAGCUUGUUGGUGGGGUGAUGGCCUACCAAGGCGGUGACGGGUAGCCGGCCUGAGAGGGUGGACGGUCACACUGGGACUGAGACACGGCCCAGACUCCUCGGGAGGCAGCAGUGGGGGAUUUUGCACAAUGGGCGCAAGCCUGAUGCAGCGACGCCGCGUGAGGGAUGGAGGCCUUCGGGUUGUGAACCUCUGUCGCCGGUGAUGUAGGCUCUGCUUUGUGGGUGGGGUGACG